GUCGGCCUACGGGAGGCAGCAGUGGGGAAUAUUGCACAAUGGGCGCAAGCCUGAACCAGCCACGUCGCGUGAGGGAUGGCGGCCCUACGGGUUGUAAACCUCUUUUGUCGGGGAGCAAGACCCGCCACGAGUGGCGGAGCGAGAGUACCCGAAGAAAAAGCAUCGGCUAACUCCGUGCCAGCAGCCGCGGUAAUACGGAGGAUGCGAGCGUUAUCCGGAUUUAUUGGGUUUAAAGAGUGCGCAGGCGGACCAUCAAGUCAGCGGGAAAAUCGUGGGGCCCAACCCCAUCCCGCCGUUGAAACUGG
rnacentral:rRNA from 1 species